rnacentral:rRNA from 1 species
AUUGAACGCUGGCGGCAGGCCUAACACAUGCAAGUCGAACGAGUGGCAGACGGGUGAGUCAUGUCUGGGAAACUGCCCGAUGGAGGGGGAUAACUACUGGAAACGGUAGCUAAUACCGCAUACCAUCGGAUGUGCCCAGAUGGGAUUAGCUCGUAGGUGGGGUAAAGGCUCACCUAGGCGACGAUCCCUAGCCGGUCCGAUAGGAUGACCGGCCACACUGGAACUGAGACCCGGUCAAGACUCCUACGGUAGGCAGCAGUGUGGAAUAUUGCACAAUGGGCGCAGGCCUGAUGCAGCCAUGCCGCGUGUAUGAAGAAGGCCUUCGGGGUGUAAAGUACUUUCAGCGAGGAGGCGUUACUCGCAGAAGAAGCACCGGCUAACUCCGUGCCAGCAGCCGCGGUAAUUC